UACAUAAAACUUAAUAAAAUAAAAACAAAUCCUACAAAUAACUAUUCCGGCCCUAGAGGACCGAAACGUGCCCAAACAUGCUCCAUCAAAUCAUAUUGGAGCGCGGCGUGCAACUGCCUAUCUCGGAGAAGGGUAUCUCUUUGCACAUAUUCCUCGAAGGAAACUGGGGUUGCUCGACCACUCUCCGUCGAGUCACUGCUAGACGCCCCAUGUCCCGCGUCGUCAUCUCUCCAAUUGGUUGCUCCUUCA
rnacentral:lncRNA from 1 species